AGGCUUAGAAAUAAUUCAUGUUGAUUAAAUGUGUGAAAAAUUUAUGAAAAUACUUACCUUGAGAAAAAAAGAGAACUGUACAGUUAAAAAGAUAAUUCAUCUAAGCAUUACUGUCAUUUUUUAUGAUGUUUCUGUUUUGCAUGGGUAUUUGUAAAUAAUUACGUAUUACUAAUAAGUGUAACCCUGUCAAGCUUCCCGGAGCCUCCAGCCAAGGUUCCUCCCCCUCUUGAUGCAGACAUCACUGAACAUCCAGAAGCAGAAAGGGGUGUUUCCAGGUCCAGGUCUAGAUCUCGCUCCACCAGACGCCUGUCCAGGUCUCCCUCCGCCAGGAAUCCAUCCACGUCUCACUCCAACAGGCGCCCGUCCAAGUCUCGCUACGCCAGAUAUGAUGUUAAAACCUGGACGUUCCCAUUGUCUCAGGAGGGCACCUGGUCGGUGAUGUGGCAGCCUUAGUUUCCUUUUUUAUCCUGUUGUUUCGUUUUGCAUCCUACAACACACAUCUACAUUCUCCACUCACACAACAUGCACCUCAUGCUUACUUUACUGACAUCCACAUCCCAUGUUUUGUAAUCUUUUGUUGGACAUAUUUAAGUUAAGUCGUUUCUUAUUAAUAAACUUAUUUUGUUAUUCCUUAUCAUGGUGUGUCUCCCUCCUUGUCAUGGCUGUAAGAGCCAGGCUGUGACAGUUACUAUUUGAAUUUUACUUUGUAUUGCAUGCUCUGUUUU